CACACAGGCUUGUGCAUGGGAAAAAAAUUAAAGGUAUUUUUAAAAAAAAGAACCAAAACCCCAUGUUCAUUCCAGUAUAAUAAGGACAGCAGCCAGCCUACUACCCCUCAUGUAAUCAAACAUUAUAAACAUCACUUCUUACAUCAAAGAAUAAUGUGACAAAAAUAAUGAAAAAUAAUGAUUAGUCUUUAGUAAGCACCAAGUCAAAGGAAGCUAAAGAACCUAGAAGUCAGAAAAAGAAUAAAAUAUUUUUUGUAGGAAAAACUCAAACCAGCAUUCUAUGAGUUGCAGUAAUUUUGAACUAAGGGUUCCUUUGGGUAAGAGAAGUUUAUUACAAUUAGGGGUUCGUUUGCUUUGGCUGUGCUGUUUGGUCAUGGGUACUAUCGUGAGUAAUUUCUUUCUUCUCACCGAAUUUUGUCUAACCAGUGGUAUCAACGUUUCUCAGAUAAAUUUAUAAGCUAGCAGCACCCACAGAAUGUAGCAAUUAAGACUUCCCUUGUCUAGAAAGGAAUACAAUGCUGCGACCAUUUCCAUAGAGAUUCACUAAACAACAUCCUUCAUAUAGCCCAUUAUUCUAAGUCAGGGCUGCACUUUCCAAAGCUUUAGAGAUCCACUGAACAAUGCACAUACAGCUAACACCACUACAAAAAUGUGCCAGGGCGCUACAUGUUGGUGUUAUUUUGUUUUGUUUUGUUUUUACCAUAAAGAAGAUAAAAUUCGAAUUGUAAGUCUGGUGUUUUCAGGCAGCUGUGAUCUGGCCCGUAACUGUCAUGGUCCCCUCCUCUCCUGCUUAGUCGCUCAAUUUUACAAGUGCUUGCUGUGUGCCAGAGACAGAGUGCCACAGUGGCAUAGACCAGGCACAGCCCUGCGUGCAAACUUUAAAACGUCUCCCUAGGGUGGAAAGCGUCGCUGUAUUUUUUUUCUCACUCCUCACGCCUGUGCCGUGGAUAGUGUUAGAAACCUUCACAUGUACUUCCUAUAUGUACUUGUAUAAUUUAUGACUCUCUCGGCCCCGAAUGCCUGUACUGCCUGUCAUUCUGCCUCUCGGUUCCUCAUUCCUUCCAGAACCACCAGAUGCCCCUUAGUCAUUCUGGGUGUUAUUCAAACACGGCUUCCGAACUACAGCUCCCCCUUUGGACUGCCGGUGGUGCUCGCCCGCCCCAGUGAUUGACAGAAUGUCUUGCAUUCUAGCAAAAGCUAAAGGACAUUCAUUAAAUUGAAAAUGGCACCGUGAAAACAUCUUGGACAAUUGUUCUCCUGUUUAAACCAAAUACAUCAGUUUAAUCUUAAUUCUUGCUGUCUCACUUUCCUGGCUCCAGUGCUUGCGUGCACGCCACCAAAUGUCACCUGUGCUUCAUCAUGAGUGUCACAUGGGCGGAGACUCCCAGGCUCCUGUGGAGCUGAAUGUGCAAAGGUAUCACUGUAGACAGGCAGAGUAACCAGUGAGGGUCUCUGCCUCCCUCAAGGUGCUGUGUUCUUAUAGCUGAUAUGUCUCCGGAAACAUUAGUAAUCAUUGAUUAAUAUUAUUACUGUUACUCUAUAAUAAUACUCAUUUACCACUUCAGCGUUUAGGAGCACAUACGUCUUCUCCACUGCUCCUAAGAGCAUUGCUCUCUUGCCUCCCUGUCCUUGUGUCUCCACUAAAGCAUUCAUAGCUUUUUUCCUCAGGCUGUACAAGGAUUCCUCUGCUCGUGACAUUGAAGUUUGUGAAGGUGAACGGGUUAGCACAGAAAGGAGCUCUGACCUGGAGCCUGUCACGUGCUGGCUCCCACCGAGAGGACCUGGGACCUCCUGAACAGUGUUCCCUCCACUCCUCAGAGGCAGAGCCAUCUCCAUCUGAGCUUUCAUUCUUCGCUUUUCAAAACUGGAACCCUGUCCUGGCUAAACAGCACCCCAUCCCUCCUCUACCCCAGCCCCCAAUCUACCACUCUACUUUUUUGUUUCUUUAAUAACUGUUUUUACUGUGCUAUUCUCGUUGUGACCAGACAAUUUCAUGCAGUAUAAUGUCAAAUCUCAUCCACUUUGCAAUGAUGUGACAGUAUUUCCUUCCUUUGUAUCAUAUUUUAUAUAAUGUUCCUUCCUAUGUAUGUGAUGCAUUUGGUUACCUGUCACUCGUAGAUGAAUAUUUCCAUUGUUUGUACAUCUUGGAUACUAUGGACAAUGGUACAGGGAACCCCUGCCUCUGUGGAUAUCUCUUCGAGAACUUUCUUCACUUCAGGACAUUUGAUGUCAUAGUUUGUAAGGAAACUGUGUUUGCUUGGCACAACAAUGAUUACUUCUGCCCAGGGAAGUAAUGUCAGGGUCAAUUGUCUCAUAAAAUUAUUCAACUACCCUUAAAUCAAUAAUGAUAAUAGUAAAGAGUCAUUGCCUAAUGCUUCAGUAAGAAGCAGCCUAUCCUUAUGGCUUCCCAUCCCCACACACUAAGUGCUCACAGGCACUCUGUUUUAAUUAUCCCAGAAGUUGAGCCGGGGUUGGAGGUACUGUGCAAAGAGGACCUGGCAGGCAUGGACUGGAGUGUUACAGAGAAUGUCUGCUUUACACUGUGUAGCGCUCCCCUCCCCUCGCCCCCGCUCCCACCAUGGUGCAUAACAAACUAUCAACCAACCCAGCAGAGAGGGGCUGGAAAUUGCAUGGAAUGACAUGUGGCAGAGCCUAUUCUACCAAAGGAAAAAAAAAUCAAGGAAUGGAAUGGCGUAUUCAGUGACUAGUGUACAGUCCAGGGGAAGGAUUUGCUUUUUUCAAAGAGAUAUGUGCUUUCUGUGGUUUCUACAUAAUUUUUCAUCCCAGAGAAUACCAGUGUGUUCACACAUUAUAUAUAGCCAGCUCCUCCAUUAAAACACAGUUAGGUCCUUGCAAGAAUAGCUGUGAAAAAUAUUUAGGCCAUCCAUUCUUAGAAUCACCUGCUUUCUGAGCCCUAAGAAAAGAAAUAAUCAUUAAUGCAUGGUGCAUAUUUGUGGGUGGAUGGGUGUGCGUGUGUACAUGUUCACAUGAGUGUAUGUGUGUAUGCACAUGCAGUAGAGACUAAAGGUUGACAUCACAUGUCUUCCUUUAUAACAGUCUACCUUAUUUUCUGAGACAGAAUCUCUCAUUGACUCUGGAAUUCUGAUGGGCAAGACUAACUGAGCGGCCAGCCCCAGAGGACCUCCUGGCUCUGCCUCACCAGCAGUGUGAUUACAGGCGGCCACAUCCAGCUCUUCCACAGACGCUGUGAUGAAGCUCAGGUCAUCGCUCUUGGGCAGCAAGCAGUUUAUUGAGUCCUCUCCCAACCCUGACAUGGUACAUUCUGACAAACAAGGCUGGUCUUGGGGGAUCUUCUUGAUAUUUGUGGUUGCUCAUUUCCAGAUCUUUCUGGAAUUGACAUCACUGGAUCAAGGACAGCUCCCUAAAUGGUCAAUUGCCUUUUAGAACAUGGAUUUUGCUGACAGGUUCCGGUUUUUAUCAGAAGUGAUAUUGUUUUCUUUUAUUACUGUAAAGCAUGAAAUAAACAAAAUAUCAAAAGUACACUUGAGGGUUGUACAGUGCAUUAAAGUUAAGAAACACUUCAUUUCCACUGUAUUCCUCAGACAGAGACCAAUAUUUAGAGUCUCAAACAAGCAACAGUUGGUACCUAGAAAUAAGUUGAAACCUGACAAUCUGCAUGGAAUCAGAGAAGCUGACAUCACAGAACGGCUCCGAUGAGCCUUCUCCUACUCCAUUUUUCUUUUUUCUCCAACAUUCCCUACCGACAGUAAAAUUCAUACUCUGUUUGCCUAAUGAACCACAAAGCUGGAGUUUCCUAGGGGCGCUGUCUGUAACAGUCGUGGCGAGCUUCCAGAAUUUUCCAGCAGGGAACAGACUUUUUCUCUUUUAAACUCUCAAGCUAUUGGCAAAAGGCAGCCCCCUAUUAAAUGACUAAGACUAAACCACUGGUUUUGGAAAAGAGCCCCAUCCAUCAGCGGGAGCCUAGGGAAGAGCCAGCUAAGUGACUGGGCAUCUCUUGUGGUCACACAUAAUGGGGAUUAAUCAUCAGGGAUCCUAACUAAUUCCAGCCACUGCGUCUUAAUGAAUGUCAAAUGUGAGCCCACCAGGCUUUGUCCCUCCUGACGUUAGGACAUCUGAAUGGGUCUGUUGUCUAGUAUUCUACACAGUAAUGUGAUUGAUUCUACACAGGGAGUUUUGGGUUCCAGCUUGUCCCGGUACCAAAUAUGCAACAUGCAAAGUGAGAUUUCCAUAAUGACUCCAUCAGUGGCAGGACAGCUCAGCUCUGGGACAUGUCAUCUAUCAUAGUUUAACUUUGACUUCCUGUCAGAUUUACUCUGCAUUAAAUGUGCAUCGUAAUGGAGCAAAGUUGGUUCAGAAUCAUGUAUGUGCACAUGCAUGUGAAUGUGUGUAGGCAUGUGUUUGCAGAUGUGCAUUUGUAUGUGUGUGUGGCGACUGAAGGUCACCUCAUAUAUCCUUCCUCGGGAGGUACCCACCUUGUUGGUUUUCUUAGUUAUUUUAUUUUAUGUGUGUGAGUGUUUUCCUUCUAUGGAUGUGCACCUUGUGUGUUCCUGUGGAAGCUAGAAGAGGGUACCAGAUCCUUUGGGCCUGAAGUUGAGAAGGUAACCCCAUGUCUUUGGAACCAAUCACUCCAGAGUCAAAAGGAGCUUGUCCAUGACUGUAGUCAUGGGAUUCAUUUUCUCCUUGCUAUCUAAUGACUUUAUUUCCCAGAGCUGGUGGACUCCCAGGAGGGAUGAUUGAAACUUCCUAACCCAAAGCCCGACCCACGACCUGGCCCUCGGUGCAGUGGAGACGGUUGUGUGGACUGUGGAAGGACUCAUUCAGUCAUAGCUCCUUUUGUCCCUUUUCUCUGAGUUUUAAAAAUUCAAAAAGUAUUUCAGUUGUUUAUUUCAUACUGAGUUUUAGCCUGUUCAUUUGGUCAAGCUAUACCACCAGCCCAGCUCUGCUUAUUUUAAAUGAUUGAUGCUUUUUUUUUUUUAAUUAGCAAGGUGUCUUUUACUGAAAAUCUUUGACAGAAAAUGCUUUACACAUCUCUAAAUGAUGGUUUAUCUAGUGGCAGAACUGCAGGCCAUUCUCUCCCAGUUCGUGAAUCUUCUUUCAAAUUUGGAUCCACGUCACCACUUGAGGUGGUGGUUAGAUUUGGGCCGCUUCCUCGCCUAGAUGAACGUCGGUGUUCAACAUCUCAAGGGCCAUUUGCUCCCUGGCUUUUCGGCUCCUGGCUGUUAUUUUGUUCUGUUUUCUCCUUUAUGGAAAUUGUUCUUGACAAGAGUUUUUCCAACUCUUUUAGUGACAUUGUUUCAGGGCCAUGGAUUUUAUAAGUUCUCUCUCUCUCUCUCUCUCUCUCUCUCUCUCUCUCUCUCUCUCUCUCUCUUAUCAGAGUUUCUUGAGGCAGUCUGUCUUUGUUACGGGGUCUGUCAGCUAAUUCCAACACAAUAUGCAGGUUUCUCGAUUGCUUUGUAAUUAAGGACCAUGAGUUUAUGUUUGGUGACUUGUAACCAGUGAAGCUCCCAUGUGCCUGGGGUGGCGGUCUGCCCCCAUGUUUUAUACCUGGUCCUGCUUUCUGGGGGUUCUGGAGACAGGUACAAAUUUAAGAAUAUUUACUUAAAUUUCCAGUGCAUUUUCUUAAUGUUUGACCUCCAGGCAUAAAUGAGGAGAGACCGUAUAUUUGAAUCUUGAGCUUUUUUUUCCCUCCUCAGAGGCCAAGCUGCCAUGCUCGGUCCCUUCCUUUGACUCUAGAGGCACAGGCCAUUGUCCAGAUUUGCUGGUGUGCAGUGGGAAUGGCGUCCUGCUGUCCCAGUGCUGAUGCAGAUCCCAACUCCAGCUCCCAUCCUGAGCCCUAACAAGCCAGGCUCCACAGCUGGCAGGAUCAGGCCGCUGGCAUCUCAGGCAGGACCACUUUCAUCCCCGGUCUGGGUUUUAGUUUUUCUUUAGCUUUGCCUCCAGAAUUUUCCUUAAGUUUCUGUGAUUGAAGCUGCUCAUCACAAGAAAUAACUGCCAUGGUUUAGGGGGCAUUUCUUGAGAGGACCAUUCCCUGAGUAUUCUGCCACAGUUCCAGUGCCUGUUAGAUGAGUGGCCGAACAUACAGAGAAAUCAUCUGAACAUUCUGGAAGGAGGCAAACUAAACAAAUCAGAAAAGCCAGAAAGCAUGGGGGUUUUUGUUUUUAUUGUUCUAUGUGUAUAGAGACACGCUUUCUGUCCCAAGAACCCCUAGCUCUCUGAGGAGGUUGAGGGCUUGAAGUGCAGAACACGAACUGAGUCACCCUGAAGCUACAGAAUACAGACUGGACAUUUAAGAUGCCAUAAAGUAUCUCAGUAAUAUUUACAGUUAACGAUACACCAAUAUGUGAUUUUGUGUAUGCUAGUCAAGUAAAAUAGAUGGAAGUUAAUUUCACCAAAUUCUUUUUUAUGUGUCCAAUAGAAAUUUUUAAAUUCUGUCUGUGCCUCCUCUAUCUCUAUUGGCCAGCAUUAUUGUUCACAGUAAGUGCAUAAUAAAUGCUGGUUGAAUGAAUAAGUAAAGCCAGGUGGUAAGGUCUCAUUGACAUUAUUCUAAAACAGUCCAUGAUGAGAGUUCUACAGUCUCUGAGAGGACUUCCUUUUGAUAAUCUCACAUCUGUGAAAAGGUGAGGUGAGAGAAUAGAGCUUAUUCCCUGCAUUGCAACAAAUGCAGACGAAAAGCAGCUGAGGGAAAGGCAUUUAGCCAAACACCUUCAACAGUCGCUCUAGGAUAGUAAUACAGGCUUCUCCAGGCAUGCUCUUUAGGAAAAUGUCACCUUUGUGCACGGUGUAGGAGCAUUUCAAGGGUGGCACACUUGUCCUCGGGAUCUGCUUCUCCAAGUCGCCUUGCGCUCCUUCACCAUGUGGGUAGUCACAGCGAGAGUGCCAGGGUGAGGAAGACGCCUCGCGCUUGCUCAGAGUGCUUGCUUAUUCGCAGGCCUUUCAAACGUGCCUGGUCACUGAAUGGUGUGUUUGCUCUUGGGUUGAGGAAUGAGCUACAGCUGGCAAAGCCAGCCACAGAUGCCAUUUGCUCUUUGUGGCCAGGAAGCUCGCUAUGUGACAUUUCUAAGGAACCUAGUUUUCCCUUGUCACUCACUACAUUCCCCAGCAGACUGCUAACGAAGUACAUAUGUUCUUUCUCCAAGAGGGAUGUUGGGGGAGGGAGAGAAAA